GACGAACGCUGGCGGCGUGCUUAACACAUGCAAGUCGAACGGUGAAGCGCCUUCCUUUUUGGUGGGUGUGGAUGAGUGGCGAACGGGUGAGUAACACGUGAGUAACCUGCCCCCUUCUUCUGGAUAACCGCAUGAAAGUGUGGCUAAUACGGGAUAUUCUGGGUCUGUCGCAUGAUGGGUCUGGGAAAGAUAUUGUUUCGGUGGGGGAUGGGCUCGCGGCCUAUCAGCUUGUUGGUGGGGUGAUGGCCUACCAAGGCGGUGACGGGUAGCCGGCCUGAGAGGGUGGACGGUCACACUGGGACUGAGACACGGACCAGACUCCUACGGGAGGCAGCAGUGGGGAAUAUUGCACAAUGGGCGCAAGCCUGAUGCAGCGACGCCGCGGGAGGGAUGGAGGCCGUCGGGUUGUGAACCUCUUUCGCCAGUGAAGCAGGCCUGCCUCGUUUGUGGGUGGGUUGACGGUAGCUGGAUAAGAAGCGCCGGCUAACUACGUG
rnacentral:rRNA from 1 species